rnacentral:lncRNA from 1 species
GAGUUUUAGCAAUUUGUUUGUUGUUUGAACAAGAAACCAUGAACACAUAACAAAAGUUGUCACCACAGGAAAGCAGCUCGAGUCCAUUUUCAAGUUAUUUUUACACGGACCAAUACAGGAAACUACGACAACACUUGAAUCUGAGAAGAAGAGUCCUGGAGCAGCACAGGUCAAAGUGUUCACAGAGGAGCCUACAAAGGACUACAUGGAAGGUGUAACUUACUUCACAGGCCAGUUUCUGCUAGCCUUGUUCGGGACAUUGCAACUUGCUCCAGCUGCUCCAAACCACCUGGUAUGGAACUCACCUCCCCUGGC